rnacentral:rRNA from 1 species
AGCGAACGCUGGCGGCAGGCCUAACACAUGCAAGUCGAACGAACCUUUCGGGGUUAGUGGCGGACGGGUGAGUAACACGUGGGAACGUGCCUUUAGGUUCGGAAUAACUCAGGGAAACUUGUGCUAAUACCGCAUGUGCCCUUCGGGGGAAAGAUUAAUCGCCUUUAGAGCGGCCCGCGUCUGAUUAGCUAGUUGGUUGAGGUAAUGGCUCACCAAGGCGACGAUCAGUAGCUGGUCUGAGAGGAGGAUCAGCCACAUUGGGACUGAGACACGGCCCAAACUCCUACGGGAGGCAGCAGUGGGGAAUCUUGCGCAAUGGGCGAAAGCCUGACGCAGCCAUGCCGCGUGAAUGAUGAAGGUCUUAGGAUUGUAAAAUUCUUUCACCGGAGACGAUAAUGACGGUACCCGGAGAAGAAGCCCCGGCUAACUUCGUG